GACGAACGCUGGCGGCGUGCUUAACACAUGCAAGUCGAACGGAAAGGCCCUGCUUUUGUGGGGUGCUCGAGUGGCGAACGGGUGAGUAACACGUGAGUAACCUGCCCUUGACUUUGGGAUAACUUCAGGAAACUGGGGCUAAUACCGGAUAGGAGCUCCUGCUGCAUGGUGGGGGUUGGAAAGUUUCGGCGGUUGGGGAUGGACUCGCGGCUUAUCAGCUUGUUGGUGGGGUAGUGGCUUACCAAGGCUUUGACGGGUAGCCGGCCUGAGAGGGUGACCGGCCACAUUGGGACUGAGAUACGGCCCAGACUCCUACGGGAGGAAGCAGUGGGGAAUAUUGAACAAUGGGCGGAAGCCUGAUGCAGCAACGCCGCGUGCGGGAUGACGGCCUUCGGGUUGUAAACCGUUUUCGCCUGUGACGAAGCGUGAGUGACGGUAAUGGGUAAAGAAGCACCGGCUAACUACGUG
rnacentral:rRNA from 1 species